GUGUUCGUGCCAAACUUCAAAGGCCUAAUAUUGGUGUCCCUCCAAAGUUCACUCUCUUUUUUAGAUGCUCGCUAAAGACUAGAGAUGGAUGGCCGGCAUGUGAAUUCAAUGAGUAUAUUUAUGGUCCUAGAUCUCAUUGGCCGACAGAAGAGGAAGUGCGAGAAUUUGAGAGUGGGAAGAAGCCAUGGCCAUGUACAACUACUCCUAGUUUUCGAUGCAAGUGUGGUAUUCUGCCCACAAAAGGCGUAGUUCCUUCUGAGCUUGGCUACGGAUAUUACUAUGGCAAUAGCUACGGAGAGUAUUGGGAGGGAAGGACAUGUGAUUGGGAGUGGUUCCAAGGCCGGUAUGAGCUAAUGUUGCAAUUGGGCAGAACAAAAGAGCCUUGGAAAUCUAGAGACACUAUAAAUAGAAAACUGAAGAUAAUGAAGGAUUACCAAGUUACUUUGCCCCUUGAGUCAUUUCUGUCAGGGCCUGUACUCCAAGACCUACGGCGUGAGUAUGGAAAGAAGGCAGCAGAAAAGACAACUCUUGAGGAUUGCAUUGUUUAUUGGAGGAGGAACCGAAGCAAGUAACCACGGCCCCUCACAGAUAGGGAGCUUUUGGCAAAUUAUGAGAAGAAGAAGAAGGAGGAGGAGAUGGAGAGGCAGAGGUUAAGGGAGCAAAGAGCAAAGAAAGGUUUUACUGUUGAUACGGAAGCUAAAUACCCAAAGGGUUCAUGGGAAGAAUAUUUUCAGAAAUUGGAGGCUAACAAGAGGAUGGAAGAAAUGAAAAAGAUGGAGAAUUUAGCUCAGGAGGCUCAGAUGGAGGCAAUGCAGGCCCUAGUUGCCGAUCUGCCACACAAGGUGCCCAACGUUGAGAAGGAUGUGUCAUCCGCGAGCACGGAGGUUUUGGGUGUUAGAGGUACUCAAAUGGAGGCAAUGAAGUC